rnacentral:tRNA from 1 species
GGGGGUUUAGGUUAAUCAAGACUACGAGUUUUCAAGAUUCGAGGUGCUGAAGGCGACUCUCG